rnacentral:piRNA from 1 species
UGACAGUUUACAAAUGCCAUGGCAACGUC